UACGAAGGGGGCUAGCGUUGUUCGGAUUUACUGGGCGUAAAGCGCACGUAGGCGGAUUGGUCAGUUAGGGGUGAAAUCCUGGAGCUCAACUCCAGAACUGCCUUUAAUACUGCCAGUCUCGAGUCCGGAAGAGGUAAGUGGAACUCCUAGUGUAGAGGUGGAAUUCGUAGAUAUUAGGAAGAACACCAGUGGCGAAGGCGGCUUACUGGUCCGGUGACCUGACGGCUGAGGUGCGAAAGCGUGGGGAGCAAACAGGG
rnacentral:rRNA from 1 species